rnacentral:rRNA from 1 species
UGGAACUGAGACACGGUCCAGACUCCUACGGGAGGCAGCAGUGGGGAAUAUUGCACAAUGGGCGCAAGCCUGAUCGCAGCCAUGCCGCGUGUGUGAAGAAGGCCUUCGGGUUGUAAAGCACUUUCAGCGAGGAGGAAGGUGGUGAGCUUAAUACGCUCAUCAAUUGACGUUACUCGCAGAAGAAGCACCGGCUAACUCCGUGCCAGCAGCCGCGGUAAUACGGAGGGUGCAAGCGUUAAUCGGAAUUACUGGGCGUAAAGCGCACGCAGGCGGUUUGUUAAGUCAGAUGUGAAAUCCCCGGGCUCAACCUGGGAACUGCAUUUGAAACUGGCAAGCUAGAGUCUCGUAGAGGGGGGUAGAAUUCCAGGUGUAGCGGUGAAAUGCGUAGAGAUCUGGAGGAAUACCGGUGGCGAAGGCGGCCCCCUGGACGAAGACUGACGCUCAGGUGCGAAAGCGUGGGGAGCAAACA